rnacentral:misc_RNA from 1 species
AGAUGAUAAAAAUUAUAUUUUUUAUUAAAUUUUUUUAUUAAAUAUAAAAAAUCCCAAUAUUUAUUUUGAAAUUAAAUCAAGUAUCAACAACUAUUCUUUUCCAUUACUUUGUAUAUUUAUACCUAUAAAGAAAUAGCCAGUAGUUGGUCAAUAACACGUUCAAUACACCUUUUCUCACUUAUAAUUUCAUUAAAAUUUUCCUUUUGUUAUGCAUUAUAUGAUGUGGGAUUUGACAACUAAUUUUGGUUAUCAAACUUAAUAUUUUCAAUUUGUACAAAGCUGAAUUACCAGCUCAACUGUUCUUGAGCACAAUAUAAGUGCACAAAUUUUAUGUUACAGCUACAAUCAAAUUAUAACCUUAUGUAUUUUGCUUUGAACCAAAAAAAAGAACAAUAAUAAUAAUCAAAGAGGAAAAAGAAGAACAGAAUUAUGUUUUGAAAAAAAAAAUUGCAUAGUCAAUAACAACAGUAAGAACAGCAGUGAUCCCAUGCUUAGAAAGCUCUAGUCCUUUUUCUCCAAAACUGCUGCUCCAGCCUUAAUGGGGAUAAACAAUGGCAGUGGAGGUGAGCGGGGGAGAGAGAGAGAAAAAGGUGCAAGAGAAAAUGAAAAAUAUGAAAAUAUCUUAUUAGAAUCAAGACUUCUUCACCAAUUUCAAUGAGCUAACCAAAAUUGUUACCAGUGUCAAGUUCAAGACAAUUGAUAAAAUUGGCUAAAAUUGAAAAACACAAAAAUUUUAGAUUUUCAAUAGUUUGCCUUAAAGAAAGAAAGAAAUGCGUGCACACUACACGCACACACACUCACAUGUAUACCUACAGAAACUUUUAAAAUGGCUCCUCAACUUGUGUUGAUAAACCAACCAUUGGAUUCAGUUCUCUAUUCACAUGGAUCAUGCACAUCCAAUUUUAAAUUAACUGUAUAUCUAUACGUUUUUAUCUACACUCCACAACUGUACUUUUAUUUGAUACAAUUAUUAACAAAAUUAUCACAAUACGAAUGAAACGCUUAUUGAAAUCCAAUUAACUUCAAAUUUUAUGUGCAUGAUUCACAUGAAUAAAGUGCUAAAUGCAAUGGAUUGUUUAUCAUAACCUAAAAAAGGGGGAAAAAAAACAAAACUGAGUGCAUAAGUUACACUUAGUAUGUGAAUCUCUUUCUCAUGCAUACAUAUAUGAGAUUAUCUCUAUCUCUCUCUCAUGUUGGCUGUUGUGCCAAAUAAGAAUCAAGCAUGUUAUAAAGGGGAAAAGAACCCAGAAGUUAUCCUCCAUUACAUAAUAACAGAGUAUCGGUUUACUCUUUUUCUAUUCCUUCAUAUGAAUUAUACAAAGGUAAUAUAAUAUUUUCAACUUGAAGGGCAAUAAUACACAAUUCUUUGCAGAAAUUAUGUAUUAUUUAAUCAUUUUCCAGUGCUACUAAGCUUAUUCCUAUAACUUAAGCCUUCUUGUUUACCCACAUGAACAAACUUCAAAAUUGUUGGGCAGAUCAUGCUUCCCCUGGAAGCCCCUUGAUAGCUUCACUAGUACUAGGGCAGGCCAUAAAAUCAUUGAUGCAUUGGUUUGCAAAUGCUUGCAUACAAAUUCCAGUCCAAAGUAUCCACAAAAUGCAGCAUAUAAACAACACUUAAGAAUAUGUUUACAGAGUGCAGUGCAUGUAUGGCGUGAAUGUAUGCAAGCAUGCACAAGAGAGAGACAGGGAG